rnacentral:lncRNA from 1 species
UCUUUCUCUAUCUCUCUCUUUCUCACUUAUUCGCUCACUUACUCUUUCUCACGCAUCUACACGUACGCGGGUACAUUAUAUAACAUACACGCGGUCUGUCCUCUCUUGAUCUGUGUGCCUGCUUGUUGUGUUGUCUAUCUCCCUCGGGUUUAGGUUCGGGCUCGAGUGAAUCAAAAUAACGAAGAGAAUGUGCCGUUGAUGAUCGGUGGAAAAAAAAGGGUGGUGGUACUUGCUAAAUAUCAUCGGAUCCUUUGGUGCUCUCGAUAAUCAGUCCGAAAUAUAGUUUUGUGUAUCGAUGCACGCGAGAUUUCUCGUAUAGAUCGUCCCGCCUUUCUACACCGAUGCUGGAUAUCAGUGAUUUAAAUUAUGUGUGAAUUCGACGUAAGGAAACGCAAUCGUUUUGUGAAUUUUCGGUCUCGCCCUCGAGUUUAUUGUGUCAGUGAAAUUUUUUUUCGGUGUUUUCCAUUUGGUUGACACGAUGUAACCUAUAUUGACGAAUUCUCAAUAUAUUCAUAAUUGUUCCUUCUUUUGAUUUUUAUAAAUAUUGCACGAUUGCUCGAGCUUUCGUUGCGAUGUUUUUCUUAAAAAGUAGUCGUUCUCAGUCGAUAAACAAUUCGUUCAGUUUUUAUCGAUCGAGAUAUUAAAUUUUUUUUAUAUUUCACCGUUUUUUUUAUUUCUUGUCAAAUUCAAUUUCAUUUUGUAACAAAUUGUUUUUGAUAUGUUCUAACUCUUCAAGAUACAAUUAAAAAUUCGUCAAUUCCUCUUUUUUAUUUUCGCCACUCAAAUUAAGUUAUGUUUUUUUCCAACCUGUGUCAUCGGGCUUCUUACCACGCCUAACGGUUCUUCAUCAAAAUUCUAACAUCGAAACCAGUGAUUAUUCUACAUUUUAAUACUUUUUGUUCCGUUAAUUAAUUGAUAAAAAACUUUUAAAUAUUAAAUAAAACGUAACAUGAUGAACAGAAAAAAAGAACAAAAUCAAAGGUGUAUUCUAUAAUUAAGAAGUUAAUGAAUUUUGUCCAAGUGGCUAACUGUUAUGUGUGAACACGCUAAAGAAGUAAUCGGUCCACAACACACCGGCUGAAAUGUACCAUCGACUGUGAUAUAUCCCGUGUGAUAUCCUUCGAGGAAGAAUGCAACUUCGUACAAGAUUCGAUCGAUGAAAAAUAGAAUUCUCUGCCCGUCAUCAUGUUCACGAGGGCCAAGAUGCCGGUGACUGGUGAUGGGACUUUUAUUAACCGCGGUGUAAUGAGAAAUGUGACAUGUUGUCGUUAAGCAACAAUGAGCACCGGGGAGCACGCAUCAGCGAAAAAAUCAUCGUAAGUACUCAAAAUGAUUUCUCUCUGUUUGGCUACACAUUGCGGCGUGCUUGAGUAUGCUUGCUUGAUCAUCCCAGAGCAUAUUAGCAUCGAUGAUGGCAACGGCAGCCUGGAUACUGGUAUGGAUCAUAUGGCCGACCACGCGCCAUCAACGAGAUCAGUGAAAAGGGUAUGCAGUUGACGCAUCCCUCUGUUCCUUAAAGACUGGAAAUAAGCGUCCAGAGGAGCCGUUUUUUUCAACCGUCGUUUUACAUGCGUACGUGCGUGUGUACGCGCGUGUUUCAUUCGCUAGCUUGCAUGCGAAAAGUGCGAGGAAGGACCUGCAGAGAGAACGGA